rnacentral:ncRNA from 2 species
CCCACUGACGCGGGGUGCCGGGAGGAGCAGUCCUCCCGGCUGAGAGCACACCCGUCGAACCUGCCCUAGGUAGUUCUAGCGAAGGAACGUCAUGAGCGCGUACA